rnacentral:rRNA from 1 species
CACGUAGGGCGCAAGCGUUGUCCGGAAUUAUUGGGCGUAAAGAGCUCGUAGGCGGUCUGUCGCGUCUGCUGUGAAAACUCAGGGCUUAACCCUGAGCUUGCAGUGGGUACGGGCAGACUAGAGUGCGGUAGGGGAGACUGGAAUUCCUGGUGUAGCGGUGAAAUGCGCAGAUAGUCAGGAGGGAACACCGGUGGGCCGAAGGCGGGUCUC